GAUGAACGCUGGCGGCGUGCUUAACACAUGCAAGUCGAACGAUGAAGCCCAGCUUGCUGGGUGGAUUAGUGGCGAACGGGUGAGUAACACGUGAGUAAACUGCCCUUAACACUGGGAUAAGCCUGGGAAACUGGGUCUAAUACCGGAUAGGAGCGUCCACCGCAUGGUGGGUGGUGGAAAGAUUUACCGGUUUUGGAUGGACUCGCGGCCUAUCAGCUUGUUGGUGUGGUAAUGGCGCACCAAGGCGAAGACGGGUAGCCGGCCUGAGAGGGUGACCGGCCACACUGGGACUGAGACACGGCCCAGACUCCUACGGGAGGCAGCAGUGGGGAAUAUUGCACAAUGGGCGCAAGCCUGAUGCAGCGACGCCGCGUGCGGGAUGACGGCCUUCGGGUUGUAAACCUCUUUCAGUAGGGAAGAAGCGAAAGUGACGGUACCUGCAGAAGAAGCACCGGCUAACUACGUG
rnacentral:rRNA from 1 species